rnacentral:ncRNA from 20 species
AAUAUCUCGAAGGGGUGCCCGCCAUUGGUAGGCUGAGAUCAUACCCAUAGAACCUGGGCGGGUAAUGCUGCCAAGGGAUUUUUAAUUAACACAUA